UACGAAGGGGGCUAGCGUUGCUCGGAAUCACUGGGCGUAAAGCGCACGUAGGCGGGUCCUUAAGUCAGGGGUGAAAUCCUGGAGCUCAACUCCAGAACUGCCCUUGAUACUGAGGAUCUCGAGUUCGGGAGAGGUGAGUGGAACUGCGAGUGUAGAGGUGAAAUUCGUAGAUAUUCGCAAGAACACCAGUGGCGAAGGCGGCUCACUGGCCCGGUACUGACGCUGAGGUGCGAAAGCGUGGGGAGCAAACAGG
rnacentral:rRNA from 1 species